CGCGGGCGGCGGAACCUCGGCGGGCGAGGCGGGGCCGGCGCCUCCGAGACCCCGGGGAGGGGAAGGGCUCGCCCCGGAGCCGCCUGCCGAGCGGGAGGUGGCCGGGGCAGAUCGGGGCUGGCCCCGGCGCCGCCAAGUUCUGACAUUUUCGGAGAACAAAGCACAUGCCAGGAUCCGGCAUGGUGUCAGAAUCUGCCCGGGUGAAUGAGAAAAAUGAGAGCAAUAGCACCGGCAGCGCAGUUCCUGUCUCCUGCUGCUGAGGGGGAAUUGACAGACAAGUCCCACUCCUGAGGAUGUGAUGUCUUGGGUGUCCAUGUCCUGCUGCUCACUCCAUCAUGCAGAAAUGACUCCACCAUUCUGCUUUUCCAGCUCUGCCUGCUCUCAGCAAAACACAACUGCAGCAGGAGCAGCCUCCCCAGGCAGACAUGUCUCAGCCCUCAGAAAACCUCAAACCCUG